UGGGGAAUAUUGCACAAUGGGCGCAAGCCUGAUGCAGCCAUGCCGCGUGUAUGAAGAAGGCCUUCGGGUUGUAAAGUACUUUCAGCGGGGAGGAAGGGAGUAAAGUUAAUACCUUUACUCAUUGACGUUACCCGCAGAAGAAGCACCGGCUAACUCCGUGCCAGCAGCCGCGGUAAUACGGAGGGUGCAAGCAUUAAUCGGAAUUACUGGGCGUAAAGCGCACGCAGGCGGUCUGUCAAGUCGGAUGUGAAAUCCCCGGGCUCAACCUGGGAACUGCAUUCGAAACUGGCAGGCUAGAGUCUUGUAGAGGGGGGUAGAAUUCCAGGUGUAGCGGUGAAAUGCGUAGAGAUCUGGAGGAAUACCGGUGGCGAAGGCGGCCCCCUGGACAAAGACUGACGCUCAGGUGCGAAAGCGUGGGGAGCAAACAGG
rnacentral:rRNA from 1 species